rnacentral:rRNA from 1 species
GAUAGAUAUCAAUUUAAAAUAUUUAAUCUAAGAAUAUAAGGGUAGAGCUUUAUCAUUCAAUAAUAAAUGAAAUAUAAGUUAAUAAGUAUUUAUUUUGAUAAUUAGGUUUUUUAGUGGCCAUAUUUUUAAAGUGUUUUAACUAAUACAAUUGAAUAAUUUAUUUAUUAGAUUUUAUUAAAUUAAUAAUAUGUUUUUUAAAAUGGAUAAAUAUUAGAAAUAAUGAAAAUAUUAGUAGAAUUAAUAUAUGAGAAAAAAGAAAAGUAUUAAAAGUAAAAUAUGAAAUAGUUAAGAAAAAAAUAGAGGAACUCGGCAAAUAAGGUUCUUGCCUGUUUAACAAAAACAUGUCUCUAUGAAGUUAUAUGAAGUCUGACCUGCCCAUUGAAAUUUAUUAAAAGGCCGCGGUAUAUUAACUGUGCAAAGGUAGCAUAAUUAGUAGUUUUUUAAUUGAAGGCUUGUAUGAAAGGUUGGACAAGGGAUAAGCUGUCUUUAUUUUUAUUUUUGAAUUUGUCUUUUAAGUGAAAAGACUUAAAUAAGUUUAAGGGACGAUAAGACCCUAUAAAUCUUUAUAUUAGUUUAAUUUUAUUUUAAAUUUUAAUGUUUAAAAGAGUAAAGUUAAUAUAGUAUUGUAUUGGGGUGAUAGGAAUAAUUAGUAAACUGUUCGAAGGUAUAAACAAAAAUAUUUGAUACAUAAUUAUUAGUAGAUCCUUAGUGGAGAUUACAAGUUUAAGUUACUUUAGGGAUAACAGCGUUAUUUUUUUUGAGAGUUCUAAUCGAAAAAGAAGUUUGCGACCUCGAUGUUGAAUUAAAAUUUCUUUGUGGUGUAGUAGUUACAAGAGAGAGUCUGUUCGACUUUUAAAAUUUU